GCGAACGCUGGCGGUAGGCCUAACACAUGCAAGUCGAACGGCAGCACCGUAAGAGCUUGCUCUUACGGGUGGCGAGUGGCGGACGGGUGAGGAAUACAUCGGAAUCUACUUUUUCGUGGGGGAUAACGUAGGGAAACUUACGCUAAUACCGCAUACGACCUACGGGUGAAAGCAGGGGAUCUUCGGACCUUGCGCGAUUGAAUGAGCCGAUGUCGGAUUAGCUAGUUGGCGGGGUAAAGGCCCACCAAGGCGACGAUCCGUAGCUGGUCUGAGAGGAUGAUCAGCCACACUGGAACUGAGACACGGUCCAGACUCCUACGGGAGGCAGCAGUGGGGAAUAUUGGACAAUGGGCGCAAGCCUGAUCCAGCCAUACCGCGUGGGUGAAGAAGGCCUUCGGGUUGUAAAGCCCUUUUGUUGGGAAAGAAAAGCAGCAGGUUAAUACCCCGCUGUUCUGACGGUACCCAAAGAAUAAGCACCGGCCAACUUCGUG
rnacentral:rRNA from 1 species